UACGUAGGCAGCGAGCGUUGUUCGGAGUUACUGGGCGUAAAGUGUGCGCAGGCGGCCGAGCAAGUCGAGUGUGAAAUCCCCGGGCUUAACUUGGGAAUUGCGCUCGAAACUACUUGGCUUGAGUGUGGCAGAGGAAGGUGGAAUUCCACGUGUAGCGGUGAAAUGCGUAGAGAUCUCCAAGAACACCAGUUGCGAAGGCGGCCGACUGGACACAUAUUGACGCUGAGGCUCGAAAGCAUGGGGAGCAAACAGG
rnacentral:rRNA from 1 species